rnacentral:rRNA from 1 species
AUUGAACGCUGGCGGCAUGCCUAACACAUGCAAGUCGAACGAGUGGCGGACGGGUGAGUAAUGUAUCGGAACCUGCCCGGUAGCGGGGGAUAACUACUCGAAACGGUAGCUAAUACCGCAUACCAUCGGAUGUGCCCAGAUGGGAUUAGCUAGUAGGUGGGGUAAAGGCUCCCCAAGGCGACGAUCCCUAGCUGGUCUGAGAGGAAGACCAGCCACACUGGAACUGAGACACGGUCCAGACUCCUACGGGAGGCAGCAGUGGGGAAUAUUGGACAAGGGGCGCAAGCCUGAUGCAGCCAUGCCGCGUGUAUGAAGAAGGCCUUCGGGUUGUAAAGUACUUUCAGCAAAGAGGCGUUACUCGCAGAAGAAGCACCGGCUAACUACGUGCCAGCAGCCGCGGUAAUAC